UAUCGUUGCCUUCUGAUAGUACUUACUACUUGGAUACCCGUAGUAAUUCUAGAGCUAUACUUGCUUAAAUACCUGACCGCUGGGAGGGGGGGCUUUUUUUAUAUUGACACCACCGUUGCUUGAGUUGACCCGGAAUAGCUGUGCUGCUCGUAUUUUCGGAUGCGAUGAUUCCCUUGGGUCUCUGCCCUAUCAUUUUUGG
rnacentral:rRNA from 1 species